GGGUUGUGAGGUUAAGCGACUAAGCGUACACGGUGGAUGCCCUGGCAGUCAGAGGCGAUGAAGGACGUGCUAAUCUGCGAUAAGCGUCGGUGAGGUGAUAUGAACCGUUAUAACCGGCGAUUUCCGAAUGGGGAAACCCAGUGUGUUUCGACACACUAUCAUUAACUGAAUCCAUAGGUUAAUGAGGCGAACCGGGGGAACUGAAACAUCUAAGUACCCCGAGGAAAAGAAAUCAACCGAGAUUCCCCCAGUAGCGGCGAGCGAACGGGGAGGAGCCCAGAGCCUGAAUCAGUGUGUGUGUUAGUGGAAGCGUCUGGAAAGGCGCGCGAUACAGGGUGACAGCCCCGUACACAAAAAUGCACAUAUUGUGAGCUCGAUGAGUAGGGCGGGACACGUGGUAUCCUGUCUGAAUAUGGGGGGACCAUCCUCCAAGGCUAAAUACUCCUGACUGACCGAUAGUGAACCAGUACCGUGAGGGAAAGGCGAAAAGAACCCCGGCGAGGGGAGUGAAAAAGAACCUGAAACCGUGUACGUACAAGCAGUGGGAGCCUCUUUAUGGGGUGACUGCGUACCUUUUGUAUAAUGGGUCAGCGACUUAUAUUCUGUAGCAAGGUUAACCGAAUAGGGGAGCCGAAGGGAAACCGAGUCUUAACUGGGCGUUAAGUUGCAGGGUAUAGACCCGAAACCCGGUGAUCUAGCCAUGGGCAGGUUGAAGGUUGGGUAACACUAACUGGAGGACCGAACCGACUAAUGUUGAAAAAUUAGCGGAUGACUUGUGGCUGGGGGUGAAAGGCCAAUCAAACCGGGAGAUAGCUGGUUCUCCCCGAAAGCUAUUUAGGUAGCGCCUCGUGAAUUCAUCUCCGGGGGUAGAGCACUGUUUCGGCAAGGGGGUCAUCCCGACUUACCAACCCGAUGCAAACUGCGAAUACCGGAGAAUGUUAUCACGGGAGACACACGGCGGGUGCUAACGUCCGUCGUGAAGAGGGAAACAACCCAGACCGCCAGCUAAGGUCCCAAAGUCAUGGUUAAGUGGGAAACGAUGUGGGAAGGCCCAGACAGCCAGGAUGUUGGCUUAGAAGCAGCCAUCAUUUAAAGAAAGCGUAAUAGCUCACUGGUCGAGUCGGCCUGCGCGGAAGAUGUAACGGGGCUAAACCAUGCACCGAAGCUGCGGCAGCGACACUAUGUGUUGUUGGGUAGGGGAGCGUUCUGUAAGCCUGUGAAGGUGGCCUGUGAGGGUUGCUGGAGGUAUCAGAAGUGCGAAU
rnacentral:rRNA from 1 species